UACAGGGGGUGCUAGCGUUGUUCGGAAUUACUGGGCGUAAAGGGCGCGUAGGCGGUGCCGCAAGUCAGGGGUGAAAUCCCGGAGCUUAACUCCGGAACUGCCAUUGAUACUGCUUAGCUUGAAUCACGUCGAGGUGGAUGGAAUAAUACAUGUAGCGGUGAAAUGCUUAGAUAUGUAUUAGAACACCGAUUGCGAAGGCAGUUCACUAGGCGUGUAUUGACACUGAGGCACGAAAGCGUGGGGAUCAAACAGG
rnacentral:rRNA from 1 species